CAUUAUAUGUAGGCUAUAUAUUUGUAUAUCACUUAUAUGUAAUAAGCUCUGUGUUCACAAUUUUGGUAGCCUACAGUUGUAUGCUUCAGUUUUCCAUAAAGUCAAGCCAGAACAUGGUGAACCCACAAGAACAAAUAGCUCUUAGUUAACAUGGUGAAGGAGAUGACAGAAAAUCACAAGGAAAAGUACACACAUGAUAUUAAUUUAGUAAUAAAAAGAAUGAAAACCCCAAUCCUAUUAUACGAUGUGUUGGUGCUACCAAAAACUCAUAGGGACAUCCUAUUAAUUAGUAGCUAUGUUUUCAAGCUCAAAAUGAUCAGAUAAUCUUAAUAAGCAUAGCUACUGUUGCACUGAACACACUGUUAAAUGUUUGUCUGCUUUGAAACCUACUAUAAUGAUAUUAGUUAAUGGUGUAACGGGGUAGACCUGUAUCAGCCAAUUUUGAGUGCAGUGGUAGUGUGAGGGGUGAGCACUUAGAGUGAGUGUGUAUUUGGUGGGUGUGGUUUUGCACUUGGGUUAAUUGCAUGGGUAUGGACUAAUGGCAGACAGGUCUGCUUGGGCAUGACAUCCAUCUGCAAACUAUUUAACCAGCCACACACUAGGCUCAAAAGUCUUCUGUUUGUCUCCUGUGUGCAGUGUGCGGGUGUGCUGAGGCUGCUGAUUCUUUGCAAGAGUGUGGUACACGGCUGGGUCGUGGUCUGGGGAGCUGCCAGUGUAGAGCCACCGCUACUUAGUAGAGUUACCAGAGGCCCAAGCAGUGAGGCUACAACCGACCAGCCUGUGACCACGCAGGAAGACGAAGUUGAGCACACCCAGCUACGACGAACUGCAAGGGAAUGGGAACAACUUUUGUCAGUGACUUUGGAAGGGCAGUGUAUAAAAGAUUGUGAGGUUGUUCAAAAGAGAAAACUUGCUUGUGGAUAAUACUGGACACACAUGAAGAACAUUUCUCUGCUCAUCUUUCAAAACACUGUACCGAGGUCUUGGUGAUUCAGCAACUUUUUUCACAUACACACUAGUGCCUCCGAGCCAUGGGACUUGGCAUUGGUUGGGGAAGACUACACAUCUGAUGCUUCCAUUUUUAAUUGUAAUACUAAUGUUGUUGAGGACUAAGUGGAAAGACCAAGCAGAAAUGUUUGUCAGUGUGUCUCUGGUGCCAAUGCAGUUCAGGCAUGUGUCGUACUGCUUUAAUUGUCAUUGCCAAUUAGGAUUCUGGGACUGCUUGGGAACCUGGAUCUGAAAAGUUAUGCAUUUUUGCAGAGCAAGCCCAACAAUGCCAUGUGAUUGUCCUGUUGUCUCUGUCCAUGGUCCUGAAACAACUACUGCAACUGGAAACUUAUUUUUCUUUUUUUGCCAUAUUUUUGUGAAUUUGUGACAUGGCUACUACUACUACUAUUGCUACUGCUCCUGCUGCUGCUACUACUACUAAUAAUAUAUUAAUGUAAUAAUUUAAUUGUCCCUUCAGUGAGGUAUUAUGCGUGAAUAUUUUAUAACAAAACAUGAGGCCUUCAAAUUAUCUAAAAGCAUAUAUUUAUUGCUUUUUAUUAUACAUAAUGUCUUCUGAAUAACAUUUUUUAACAACAUACAUUUUAACAAAUUCUGUUUGAGUUGAUUUCAUCCAUAGAUUCAUAGAUGUGUAGAUUUCCAUAUUUAUUCCAUGAUAAUAUGGGUUUUAAUAAAUCAGUCUUGUCAACAUUAGAGACACAUUGUCUGUAUUUGUUGUGGUUUGUAUUUGUGUUGGGUAUAAUGAUUUAAGUUUUGUAUGCACAUUUAGUUGUGUGAUUGAAGUAAGUAUUCAUUAAUAUGUAUUGCCUUAGUUGUAUUAGUUUUCCUACUAUACAUCUAGUGUCCUUUGUCUCUCACCAAAUUGCUAAACAUGCUUAAUAAUAAUAAUAGUUUGUCAGUGGUGCAUAAAGGUGUAUUUCUAUCAUCAGGUUGUUGUCUGGAAGUGACGUUGGACAUACCAUCAAUAAAAUAAUAUAAUUGUCCUAUUGAA